AGCCUUUACACAAAAAAAAUUUUAAAGCCGUCUGACACUCAUCUACCACCUGUAAAUUAUAACAAAAUAAUCCGAUAAUAGAAAUGUCAAAAUAAUACAACUAAACUUUACCUUUACACAAAAAAUUUCUCAAAACAGAAAUAUAAAAACAAUACAAUUAACCUAACCUUUACCUAAGAAAAUCCUUAAAGUCGACCGAUAUUCAUCUACCGCUUGUAAAUUCAUCUACGACCUGUAAACUACAACAAAAAUAUAAUAGUGAUCACAAAGCUUCAGACAUACAGCCAAACCAAGUUAGAAGAAUAUCAAUCAUAUUUUUCCAAUAAGUAAACUGAUUUCUUCGGUAGUUUAACAUGCAUCUCAAUAUUUAUAGAAGUAUUUUAUUAAUAGAGUCCUAUUUUAGGAGUAUUUUUCUAUCCUAUUUUAGAAGUAUUUUUUUAAUUGAUCACUACAAAGAAAAAUAUUAAUUGACUCUCCUUCCAUAUAUUUUAGGAGUCUCAUAUAUUUUAAAAGUCUAAUUAAUAUAAUAAAAAUAAUUAAAUAAUAGAUUGAAGAAAAUAGUGAAAAAACAGUUUUGUCUAAAGGGGGAUAUUUUAAUGAAGGACAAAAAGUUCAAAUUACUUUUCUAUGAAUCCUCAUACUUUUAAUUAUAGAUAAAUUAGCCUUUGUGAUGGGUUUGUCUUUUCUAUGAUUUGUUUUGCUUUUCUUUUUUCUUUCUUUUUUUUUUUCGGUUUUUCCUCCACAUGUUUUCUUUCUUCCUUUUAAAUUCAAUUUAGUUUUCUUUCCAUUUAUGUAUUUUUCUUUUUUUUGUUCUCUUUUUUGCUUUGGAUGUUUUUUUUCUUGUUCUUUUCAAUUCAAAUCAGCAUUAUUUUUUAUUUAUUUAAUUUAUUAAUAAACUACAUAUAAGGUAAGAUUUGAAUUGAUUUAGAACUUUAUUUCCUAACUCAAAUAAGGAUUUUAAUUAAUUUCAAAGUUCUAAUAUUAAUAAUAACUAAAUAAUAAUUUGAGAAAAAUAGUGAAAAGAUUCUGUCUAAAGAGGGGACUUUCAAUGAAGGGCAAAAGGUUCAAAUAACUCUAUAUUUCUCUUUCAUUUCUACAAACCUAUUCAAUUUCCCGAAAACCUAUUCAAGCUUGAAAAUUCUUGUAUAAUAAAACACAUCAUGUUGAAAUGUUGCUAUAACUAUGAUUUCGGUUCUUUUCUUGUUAGUUGCUACUAUUUCUAUUCCAUGCAUAUUUUCUUAUCAUUUAAAUCAAAAAUUGAAUUGUUAAUGACUAAAAAUCGAUAAAUCGAAAACCGAUAAAAAAUAAUUUAUUAGUUUAACUUAUUUAAAAAUCGAUAACCGGUAAAAAAAAUUGAUAAUACUUAAAACCGAAUCGGACCGAUCGAUGCAUGAUUAUUUUUCUUUUUAUAUUUAAAAUCUUUCCUUAUUUCUAAUGUUAAAUAUUUACAAAAUCAUUGAUUUUAUUCUUAUUAUUUUUAAAACUUUUUAAAAAUCUGGUACUUCUUAAAUUUUUCUUAUUCUAAUGAUUUUGUAUUUAUUUCUAGAUUUUUCAAAUCUUCUUAAAAAUAAAUUUAAUUUAUUUAGAAUUUAAACUAAUGAAAAACAUAUUAGUUUUAAUUAAUUUUGAUGACUUCUAAUAAGGAAUUUUUUUUCAUAAAUAUAUUUAAUUAAUUUUCAACUCUUAAUAUUAGGAAAAAAUAAUGAAAAAAUAAUUUUGUCUAAUGCAAAGACUUUUAAUGAAGGACAAAAAGUUCAAAUAACAUUUAUUAUAGAUUAUAGAUUAUAGAUAUAGAUAUAAGUUUAAGAUUAUAGAUAUAGGUUAUAUCAUAGUUGACAAAGUGGCCUAUACGUUCAUUUUUGUCCUUCUUUCAUACUUCCUCCAUUUUAUAUUUAAUUGAUCAUCCUAUUAAAAAUAUAUAUAUUUUUUAUAUUAAUUGAACUCCUUAUUAAAAAUAAUUAUCUCAUAUUAAUUGAUUGCCUUACUAAAUCAAAAAAUCAUUAAUUAAAUUUUUCUCAUAUUAUCCUUAUAAUUAUUUAGUUUUGAAAGUGUUCAUACUUCAUUGUAAAUCUUCAAAAAGAAUUUUAAAAGUGAAUUAAUAAAAUUACCUUUUAAUUAUAAUUUCUUAACAUAUUUAUAAAAAAAUUAACCAACUAAUAUAAAAUGUUGGGAGUGCGAAAUUUAUUUGAAUCCACAGAAUCAUUAUUCUAUCAUAAUAAUAUGACCAUACUCAACAGCAGUGGCGGAGCCACAGCCAACGAAGGGUGGUCAGAUGAACAUCCUUGGUCGAAAUUUUUUUUCGAGUAUAUAUGUUAAAUAUAGAUAUUUAUGAUUAUAUACAUAUUGUUGCACACCUUUGACAAGCUAGAGAAACAUAAUCCAGUAGUCAAGAGUGUGUAUUUUCGCAUCAACAACUCAGGUUCGAACUUUGACAGGUGCAGCUGUGCUUUAUUUUUUUUAUUUUUUAAACAGUUUUUUACCCAAGAAAAAAUAUAAACAUCCUUAACAAAAAAUCUGGCUCCGCCACUGCUCAACAAUCUUAAAGAAAUUGACUAUUGCUUCGUCGCUCUUCCCAGGAAGCAUCCAAAAGAUCGUCUUAUUAAAUCAAAAAAAUAUUAAUUAAUUUUUAUAUAUUAUUUUUAUAAUUAAUUAUUUUUAAAAGUGUUCCUACUUAAUUGUAAUCUUCAAAAAAAUUUAAAAUAUAUUAAUAAAAUUACCUUCUAAUUAUAAAUUCUUAACAUAUUUAUAAAAAAAUUGAUCAAUUAAUAUAAAAUGUUGGGAGUACUAAAUUUAUUUGAAUCCAGAAAAUCAUCUUUCUUUCAUAAUCAUAUGACCAUACUCAACAAUUGACUAUUGUUUCGUCCUCUUCUCUAGAAACAUCCAAAAGGUAUCUAAAUAUCUUUCUAUUCCCCCGCCCCACUUUAGCUUUUAUUCUUUCAUAUUUUCUUUUCCAAUACUUCCAAGGUUUUUUUUUUUUUUUUUAAGAGGUGUUUGAUAAAGAUAAGAAAAAAAUUAUUUUAAACUUACAAAAUAUUUUUUAAAAAAAAUUUAAAAGUCAAAACUUGAUUAUUAUACUUUUAACUUUCUUUUAAAUUAUAAAUCACUCAAAAAAAAAAUUCAUCCAAACACCUUUAAAUUUCUCCUUUAUUAAACUUAGUAGCAUUGCGCUAUCAUAUUGUCCUUUUAGGAAUCGUUUGGUGUGAGGUACUAAAGUAUAUAAUUCCAAAAUAAAAUAAUAAUUUUAAGAUAAAAUUUUUGAUGCGUCAUUUAAUUAUCAAUAUUCGGGAUAACUUAUUCCGAAACUAACAAAUAGUAUCGGGAUAAGUUAUCCCACACAUAUGGUGGUAUAACAAUUCCAACACAAUUUAUUCUUGAAAUAAAUUAUAAAAUAACAAAAUUACCCUCAAAUUCUUUGAUUAUCACUUUUCUCUCUUUCUAUAUAUAUAUAUUACUUUACUAUUAUAUAUAAGGGAAAAUGUGAGAUUUUAGUAGUUCUCGCAUCAAAUUUUUUUUAUCAUUUUAUCUCUAAUUUAAACUUUAAUUACUCUAUAAAUUUUUGUUCAUAUUGAUAAAUUUGAACAAUUAUAUGAGCUUAUUAAAUGCUACAAAAGUAAUGAGUUAUAAGAAAUUAAUGAUGACACCAUAAAAAUUAUUUAUACAAUCAAAUUCAAAAUUGAUGCAAGAGUUUAUUAUCUUUUUAUUUUGUAGAAAUAUUUAUUAGUCUUACUUUAAAUUUUCAUUUUUCCUAACAAAUUUAUCAUGGACAAGUAAUUAAUAUCUUUUACAUGUCCUUUCUAACUUAGUACAUGCUUAAUUAUUAAAUAAAAAAUUAUUUUUUUUAUAUAGCUAAAAAUGUUGAAUUUUUCUUUUUUAAAAUAUAGUUUAACUCUCAAAUAUGAUACUAAAUAAUGAAAAAUGAGAGUAAUUAUUUUACAUAUUUUUAAUGAUAAUUUUUUUUAACAAAUGGGAUUAUCAAUAUUUUUUAGAAUUUAGGACGAAAUAAGUAAUUUAAAAUGAAAUAUUAAAGCGUUAUACACGUUUAAAAAAUAUUAACAUAAAUUUUUUAACAUGUAUUUUUAAGAAAAAAAAACUACUAACGUUAAAAAAAAAUAGUAACUUUUUAAUUUUUUCUUGUAUCAUUUAAUAUGAAAGAAAAUAAUUGAGCUAAAUAAGGUGAAUGAUAUUUUUGUAAACAAACUAUCAAUUCUUAAAAAAGAAUGCAUUGCAUAUUAUUUUUGAUACCACAAACCAAACAAUCACUAAACAAUAAUUUUAGGAUAAUUAAUCUCAAAACAACUAAUCUCAAUAUAAUUAAUCUCAACAUAACUAAUUUCAGCAUAAUGUGUUUCCCAACUAAAUGACCCCUUACAUUAGUAGUGAAAUAAGGAAGUAAGACAGAACUAGAAGAAGGAAUCAUUUGGUUGGGAAACAAGUUUAUCGUAGAAAUACUUAUUCAGGAUUAGUUAUUUCAAAAUUAGUUAUAUCACUCCUAAUAAGAGAUAAAAAUAACACUACAAUCUCAAAAUAACUAAUUUCAGAAUGAGUUAUCUCAUGCAUUUUAUCUCAAAAAUUGUCCAAGUUAAUCAACAUUUAUCUACCACCUGUAAACCGCAAUAAAAUAAUACGAUGAUAGAAACAUCAAAACAAUAUAAUUAAAUCUAACCUUUACACAAAAAUUUUCUCAAAGUCGUCUGACACUCAUCUACUACCUGUAAACUAUAACAAAAUAAUACGAUAAUAGAAAUGUCAAAAUAAUACAACUAAACGUUACCUUUAGACAAAAAUAUUUCUCAAAACAGAAAUAUAAAAACAAGACAAUUAACCUAACCUUUACCUAAAAAAAUUUCUUAAAGUCGACCGACAUUCAUCUACCGUUUGUAAAUUUAUCUACGAUCUGUAAACUACAACAAAAUAAUAUAAUAGUAAUCACAAAGCUUCAAACAUGCAGCCGAAUCAAGUUAGAUGAAUAUCAAUCAUAUUUUCCCAAUAAGUAAACUGAUUUCUUCGGUAGUUUAACAUGCAUCUCAAUAUUUAUAGAAGUAUUUUAUUAAUAGAGUUCUAUUUUAGGAGUAUUUUUCUAUCCUAUUUUAGAAGUAUUUUUUAAUUGAUCACUACAAAGAAAAAUAUUAAUUGAUUCUCCUUCCAUAUAUUUUAGGAGUCUCAUAUAUUUUAAAAGUCUAGUUAAUAUAAUAAAAAUAAUUAAAUAAUAAAUUGAAGAAAAUAGUGAAAAAAUAAUUUUGUCUAAAGAAAGAUAUUUUAAUAAAGGACAAAAAGUUCUAAUUACUUUUCUACAGAUCUUCAUACUUUUAGUUAUAGAUAAAUUAGCCUUUGUGAUGUUUUUUUUUCUAUGGUUUGUUUUGUUUUUCUUUUUUCUUUCUUCUUUUUUUCUCCAUUUUCCCUCCACAUGUUUUCUUUUUUCCUUUUCAAUUCAAUUUAGUUUUCUUUCCAUUUAUGUAUUUUUUUUUAAUUCUCUUUUUUGCUUUGGACGUUUUUUUUUCUUGUUCUUUUCAAUUCAAAUCAACAUUAUUUUUUAUUUAUUUAAUUUAUUAAUAAACUACAUAUAAAGUAGGAUUUGAAUUGAUUUAGAACUUUAUUUUCUAACUCAAAUAAGGAUUUUAAUUAAUUUCAAAGUUCUAAUAUUAAUAAUAACUAAAUAAUAAUUUGAGAAAAAUAAUGAAAAGAUUCUGUCUAAAGAGGAGAUUUUUAAUGAAGGACAAAAAGUUUAAAUAACUCUAUAUUUCUCUUUAAUUUCUACAAACCUAUUCAAUUUCCUAAAAACUUAUUCAAACUUGAAGAUUCUUGUAAAAUAAAACACAUCAUGUCGAAUUUUUGCUAUAACUAUGAUUUCGUUUCUUUUCUUUUUAGUUGCUACUAUUUCUAUUCUAUGCAUAUUUUCUUAUCGUUUAAAUCAAAAAUUGAAUUGUUAAUGACUAAAAAUCAAUAAAUCAAAAACCGAUAAAAAAAUAACUUGUUGGUUUAAAUUAUUUAAAAAUCGAUAACCGAUAAACAAAAUCGAUAAUACAUAAAAUCGAAUCGGACUGACCGAUGCACAAUUAUUUUUCUUUUUAUAUUUAAAAUCUUUCCUUAUUUCGAACGUUAAAUCUUUACAAAAUCAUUGUUUUUAUUCUUAUUAUUUUUAAAACUUUUUAAAAAUAUGGUACUUCUUAAAUAUUUCUUAUUCUAAUGGUUUUGUAUUUAUUUCUAAAUUUAUCAAAUCUUCUUAAAAUUAAAUUUAAUUGAAUUAGAAUUUAAACUAAUGAAAAAAAGUAUUAGUUGCCAUCAAUUUUGAUGACUUCUAAUAAGGAACUUUUUUUCAUAAAUAUAUUUAAUUAAUUUUCAACACUUAAAUUAGGAAAAAAUAAUGAAAAAACAAAUUUGUCUAAUGCAAAGACUUUUAAUGAAGGACAAAAAGUUCAAAUAAGAUUUCUAAGGACAUUCAUCCUUUUAAUAUAUUAUAAAUAGAUAGAUUAUAAAUUAUAGAUAUAAAUUAUAGAUUAUAUAUAUAGAAUAUAAAUAUAAAUUAAAGAUUAUAGAUGUAGAUUAUAUCAUAGCUGACAAAGUGGCCUAUACGUUCAUUUUUGUCCUUCUUUCAUACUUCCUCCAUUCUAUAUUUAAUUGAUCAUUCUACCUACUGAAGAUAUUUUUUUUUCAUAUUAGUUGAACUCCUUAUUAAAAAUAAUUAUCUCAUAUUAAUUGAUCACCUUAAUAAAUCAAAAAAAUAUUAAUUAAAUUUUUCUCAUAUUAUUCUUAUAAUUAUUUAUUUUUAAAAGUGUUCAUACUUCAUUGUAAAUCUUCAAAAAGAAUUUAAAAAUAAAUUUAAUAAAAUUACCUUCUAAUUAUAAUUUCUUAACAUAUUUAUGAAAAAAUUGACCAACUAAUAUAAAAUGUUGGAAGUGCGAAAUUUAUUUGAAUACACAGAAUCAUUAUUUUAUCAUAACAUUGACUCAACACAACAGUCUUAAAAAAAUUGACUAUUGUUUCGUCGCUCUUCCCUGGAAGCAUCCAAAAGAUCAUCUUAUUAAAUUAAAAAAAUUAUUAAUUAAUUUUUUUAUAUUAUUUUUAUAAUUAAUUAUUUUUAAAAGUGUUCCUAUUUAAUUGUAAUCUUCGAAAAAAUUUAAAAAUAUAUUAAUAAAAUUACCUUCUAAUUAUAAAUUUUUAACAUAUUUAUAAAAAAAUUGAACAACUAAUAUGAAAUGUUGGGAGUAAUAAAUUUAUUUGAAUCCAGAAAAUCAUCUUUCUUUCAUAAUCAUAUGACCAUACUCCAACAAUCUAAAAAACAAUUGACUAUUGUUUCGUCCUCUUCUCUAGAAACAUCCAAAAGGUAUCUAAAUAUCUUUCUAUUCCUCCGCCCCACAUCUUUUAUUCUUUCAUAUUUUCUUUUCCAAUACUUCCAAGGAUAAAGUGAAUGAUAUUUUUAUAAAUAAACUAUCAAUUCUUAAAAAGAAUGUAUUGCAUAUUAUUUUUGAUAUUAUAAAUUAAAUAAUUAUUAAAUAAUAAUUUCAGAAUAAUUAAUCUCAAAAUUAAUUUUAAUAUAAUUAAUCUCAAUAUAACUAAUUCCAACAUAAUGUAUUUCCCUACUAAACACCCCUUGCAUUAGUAGUGAAAUAAGGAAGUAAGACAGAACUAGAAGAAAGAGUCAUUUUGGAAAACAAGUUAUCUUAGAAAUACUUAUUUGGGAUUAAUUAUUUUAAAAUUAGUUAUAUCACUCCUAAUAAGAGAUAAAAAUAACACUAUAAUUUUAAAAUAACUAAUUUCAGAAUGAGUUAUCUCAUGCAUUUUAUUUUAACCAAAUACAAAAUAAAUCUAUCCUAAAAUUAAUCUCAAAAUUAAUCAUCAUUUAUCCCUCCUACCAAACUAUCCAUAAGAUAUGUGAAAGACAUAAAUCACGUAUAAAAACAAUAAUUUCAAAAGAAGAAAAUAAGAGGUGAUAGUAAAUUGUAGAACAUGAAGCUCCAAAAAAGUGCACGGAGGAGUCUAAGAAGUUGUGAGACCUCAACAACGAAGGCGGACAAGAUCGAAAUGAACAAAGUGUACAAACACCAAAUAUAUAUAGAUGUAGUGUUAUAUAAAAUGGUCAAGAUCAAUGAGGCCACUAUGUUUGAAGAAGCUUUAAAGAAAAGGAAUUGGGUAAUCCAACAGGUUGAUAUACUCAAAGGGCAUGGACAUAAUGAUGCUUGCAAGAGUUCCAAGGAAUUGCUUAAACUGAACAGCAAAGAACAAAUUAAGUUGGUGUUGAGGGGAGUGUUGUAAAUUCAUCAUCAAUUUAAUUAAUAUUUAAGACAUGUGAAAGAAGAAUCUAGAAG
rnacentral:lncRNA from 1 species